rnacentral:rRNA from 1 species
UACGUAGGGGGCAAGCGUUAUCCGGAUUUACUGGGUGUAAAGGGAGCGUAGACGGCGAUGCAAGUCUGAAGUGAAAGGCGGGGGCCCAACCCCCGGACUGCUUUGGAAACUGUGAAGCUGGAGUGCAGGAGAGGUAAGCGGAAUUCCUGGUGUAGCGGUGAAAUGCGUAGAUAUCAGGAGGAACACCGGCGGCGAAGGCGGCUUACUGGACUGUAACUGACGUUGAGGCUCGAAGGCGUGGGGAGCAAACAGG